AGGGCAAUGAAAUGGCAGAUGAUCUGGUAACAGUGACAAGAACAAAAUCCCACAUACAACUUAAAAAAAAAAUGAAGAGGCCCUGGAACUGGAUUCAACAGAUUGAGAGGUGACAAGUAACAUUCCAGAUGGCAGAGUCUCCUUCAGCCUGAGCCUCUCAUGACCAGAUGCAAGCAGAGCCCUAGGCUGGAUGCCCAGGCUGUCUCCCGUGGUGGUGUAUCGUGGCUAUCACUGUGCAUCAGCAGAGCACUGGGACUCUAGUUGAUUGGGUGAUAUUUCACUUGGAGGCCUCAUCCUACAUCCCCUGAACCAGAAGACCUCGGGAUGGGACCCAGGAACCUGUGCUCUGACAAGAUCUUCCAGCAACUGUGGAGUUUGGUAAGCCCUGGAUGAAAAGAGCGAUGCUGGGAAUGGCGAUUGGAAGACAGCGUCAGAUCUGCAAUGCAAUCUGUUAAUGUAAUCUGUCAGUGUUUCACUCCUCACAUUGCUGUGUGUUCCUUUAAGAAGUAGGUGUCCUCUGAGUAGGUCAAAGCCAUUAUUAGUUAGCUGAGAAUUCAUUUCCUCUGCCCUUAUCACGGCCUCUCCAAACUGGACUGUGUGUGCACAAGUUGCAGGGUGCACUGAGAGCUGUGCAAAUCUGUAUCAUUUGUGAGGGACACUGCCCUGCCUAGAGCUGAGGGAAAUCUAUGUGGAUAAGUAUGCAUAAAAUUGGGACGAGAAUGUAAAAUUUGCAUUUAUUUCAAAGAUAGCACAGCAGGUCUCUAGUACUGCUUCAGACUGUACCACCAGGUCCAUCAGGGAGGGUAUCCAUUCUCCUUUGCCAGUGGAAAUGUUUGAGGCGUCCUGGUGUAAGUACCUCGGGGGACCGGGUAGAACAUGGCUUGGAGAUUUAGUCUGAGCGCUUAACCUGUUCAUAAGUUAGAAAUAGCCCCACUUACCCUCUUUAUUCUGUUACUCAAAUAUUCACCUUUCAUCCAUAUGGUUUGUAUUCCUAAUUAUGUACUAUCUAAAUUGUUUGUUUCUUCCUUCAUAUUCAUUUUUUUUUUUCCUACCCUCUUCCCUGCUCUUUCAUCCUGUAUUUUCCAAACCCACUGGCCGUGUUUAUAAGAAAGCCACUGUUUGGCAACUUAUUUGGGGGGCCUUUUACAGACUCUGCAUUAGUGUUCUCAUCGGCCGAGCAACGGAUCUGAUUUAUUUUAACAUAAACAUAGUUGUACUUUCACCACCCACUGCUUACUUGUUCCUCUUCCCAACCUUCUGCCCAGCUUGGCAGAUUGUGGGACUUCCUGCAAGCUUAUCUACUGUCCAGUGAACUCCUUGCUCUGAAUUCUCCCCCUUCACAACCUCUUGCUCUCUGUUCGUGCAAAUCUCAGUGUACUGAAUGCAGGAGCUGGCUGGUGAUGUGCAUAUUUUGCUAUUUUGCAAACACCAGAAUGAAGGAGGAUGUGAAUUUGCAUAUUCACCCCCAUUCGUAUAUUUGUUUUGGAGCCCUUUAAAAAAUAUAACCCUGGAGGUAAAUUCCCCACACGUUUCCUUUAAGUUGGUUCUUUCUCCAUGCCUUUUAUUACAGCCUUUCUAUUUUCAAAAACUAAUGAGAUAUAAGGAGAUCUUAUAGCCAAAUGUAAAUGUAAAUUUGAAAACUUCCCAUUUUGAGUUUCCAGCAAUGCUUGAUCAUUUUUGCUGUGAGAGCAGUCAGAUUUACGAAAGGAAAUGGACCUGUCUUUUUGCUUUAUUUUGUUAAAUAAUUCAUAGCAAAAAUCCAUGAUUUUUCAAAGAUCUUUCUUUAUUUCAAAGAGCACUGAAAUAAAGAAUAGCAAAUAAGAAAACAUUAGCAAUUUGGUUCCCCCCCUUUUUUAAUUUUCAGAAAUAUUCUUGACCAACCUUGUGUCUAAGUCAAAAUUUACCAGCCCAAACAAAUUGAUCACAGCCUGCUCCCCUGUAGACUGAAAAAAAAAUUGAAGUAUGGAGGCUUUCACAUUAAUUUUUUUAUGCUUACUUUUGGAGGAAAUUCACUAGAUAGUGUCGACCUAUGAUUCUCCUCUGAAGAUAAUAAAGAAAAUGUGUUCAACUAA
rnacentral:lncRNA from 1 species